UAGGUAUAUUGAUGAGUACGGUGGCUCUUCAGAUGAAGUUACCGAUGUUGAAUGUAGCUGUCACUAUUUCGAGGUGGAUCCAAAGUUUUUGAAGGGUGCAUUGAAAAGGUCACAGUACUAAUUUUCUCAGUGCUUUGUUUCACCUCUUGUUAAAGAGGAAACUUUAUAACAGGAACUAAUUGCACUUGAUCAAGAAUUUGAAUUAGACAAAGAUUUUCCUGAUCAGCGUCUUCAACAUUUGCGGUGCCAUACUUCGAAACUCAAUCAUCCUUAUACUAAAUUUGGGAACAAAAAUAGUCUGGCAGAAAUGGAUGACUAUACUCAUAUCCCCAAGAAAGUUUUGGAAUUUCACGAAAAAUACUAUUACAGAGCUAAAAUGAAAUUUAUUAUUAUUGGGCAAGUAAUAAUGCUUUACCAUUCUUGUGGGUGGGCUACUACUUGAAGAAUCUAGAAUAUAUCGAACAUCUAUAGCUUACGUCUUUGUCAUUUCCAUACACCUUACUGAGCUGGAUCUACAAAAGGUCAGCUUGAUUAUUGGAUUUGUCUAUCAAUACUUUAUGUUGUUGUGCAAAAUUUCUCCACCAAAAUUGAUAUUUGAGAAGAAGUGUAUUGGAAAAAUGGAAUUCAUAUUUGGAGAUGGGAAGUCUCAUCGUGAUUACGCUGCUAAGCUGUCAGAGAAGAUUUGCUCUUGUAUUCGCGGGAGCAUGUCAUUUGUGCCGACUAUGCGUACAAGAGAUGGAAUAAGCAGUUGAUAAGACAAAAUUAGUCAAUUAUGGAAAGAUGAGAGUAGAGCUCCAAAAUUUGAUAAUUUCGAAUAAAUUUCAAAGCAUGGGAUAGUGUAGAGAAGGUGAAUUGUCUAAAUUCUUCAUUCAUCUCCUUAAAGAUCAAUUGUCUGAAGCAUGUACCAGGUGAACUAUCUAUUUUAUUUAUUAGAAACGAGUGAGGACGGAAGAUAAAAGAUUCUCUGCGAUAAAUAGCAUGUGAACAAAAGAAAAAAUGUCUCUAUGUAUAAUUUUAUUGUGAAGUGUAGAUAAUUUAAACUUGUGUUAUCUUUGACUUUGUGAUGAAAUUAUUAGUAAAAUAUUUGAAAAUUAAAAUAGUAUUUUAAUAUUUAUGAAACAAAUCUUGAAUAAACCAUUAAAACUAAACAAUAGAAAACAAUAUCUGUUGGCGGGGUUUCGGAACACCACUAUAUUUUAAGUUGAUACUAAAUGUUUUUGUUAAUAAAUUUGCGAAAAUUAUAAUCAUGCUUCCAUAGUUAUUUGUACCCCUAUUUUGAUGUUCUACUCAAAACACUCAUUUUACAUGUUUAAAACCAAAAUAACCGGCAAUCUUCGUGGAUGAUUUACAUAACACAUUUAAAAAAAAUUAUGAUUGUACUUGAAAACUCAAUUUAAGCUCAAAAUGAAAAUGUGUUUAGGACAAAUUUAAAUUGAGUUUUCUAGAACACAUAAUACAUUUGUGUUUCGAAAAACUGAAAUUUGAGUUUACUAGAACAUAUUUGAACAUCGUAGGACAAAAGAAUUUUCUAAUUUAAAAAAAGAAUAAAGUCAAGAGCAAAUAUUUGAUUUUUUAGAGGAUUUAUGGGAUAGGGGUAAACUUUUGUAAAUCUGAUUGCAUAGUUAUUAUGUUUUUUUUUCUUUUCAGUUUAGUCUUGUUUAGGUAGUUAUUUUUAGUCUCAUGAUGUGAUUUCCUCUACGAAAACAGGAAUACUUUACAAUUUUUUGCAUCACAUAAAUUAUAAUUUCAUAGGUUAAUUGUAUCAUUAGUAAUACGGCCUUUGAUACUCCCAACAAUUGUUGUGUUGUUUCCACUAAUGGUUAACAUGAGUCGUGAGGGACCAAAGGCUGACCCAAUAUUCUUGAUGGACCAAAUAAAAAAUAUAUCAUGUUUUUGUGGACUCAAAUCAUAUUUAAGCUACGUUAUUAAGAAUUGUAAUUAAAAGUAGUUAGUGGAGGGUGUGAAACAACAUACGAGAGUGUUAAUGGUCCCACCCAUCUAUAUGUGCAUAUAUGAAUUUGUCUUAUGUGUGCAUAGUCGAAUUGUCAAGUUUGAUACCUCAAUUUCGUUUGUCAAUGGUACGCUUCAGCUGAUGCUCUCGGGUCUCAAUGACAAAUUUCCUCUUCUCUUAUCUAAAAUUUUGUUAGAAAUUAGUUGUUUCAUGCUGAUGAUUGAUGUAGGUGAGUGGCAUGUUUGUGUCAAUUUUUAUGGGAUGUUAAUGUUUUUGUUUUGCCUCACUUCAAUAUAUCUUUGUUUUAAUUCUGUUUUAUUUUGACCGAUCCUUAUUGAACGGCUUAUGAGAAAAUACAUGAACAUAAAUUAUUUGAUGAACCACGCUAGUAUAUAUUUUUAAAUCCUCUUGUGAGCACAAUUAUCAUAUAGAUGAAAAACAACUUUAUGUAAGUGACGAUUUGUUGCAUGAUGAUCUAAAAAAAAUUUAUCAGGACCUUCGCUCCCAAAAUUAAAUAAAAUGUUUAAUAUUUAUUUUGCUUAGCACCUUACUUUGAUUUCCAAGUCUGCAAAUAGUUUCUAAUUUGACAUACUGUCUGUUUCGGUGCAUAUGAAAGGGCACGUCUAUAAUGCUAAUUGCUAACAAUAUGAAGAAAAUUAACAGAUUAAUAUUGUCAUAUUUAUUGUUUUUCAAUCUAUUAAUGUUAGAAUAAGUCACAUGAAAUAAUCAUUAGCUAUACAAAUCCUAGAUUAUUAGAAUUAGCAAUCACAUUAAAUUGUAUUUAUUUUAAAAUCACAGCUGUUUGUGACAUAUGGUAGACUAAAAAAUUAUAAUUUUUUUUUGUUAAAGUAGUCUUAUGUUCUUUUGUUCUUUACUUUUUCACGAGCAAGUUCUCCUUCCCUAGAUGCCCUUUGCAGCAGUACAUCCUGCUUACUUUCCAGCGAGACAAUCGCUAAUCUCCUUCGAAAUGGAAUUAAAACAAGAAUAUAAAAUAGAUACCCGAGCUAGAUAGUAGAUACAUUAGCUCAACCUUAUACACCGAAGUAUCUAGUUAAUUAUUUGUUACCGCAAUUUCUAUACCAUGAAUGAUAUUUGAUAUAUAGUGGAAUGUAAGAGAGUGCGGUGGUUUGAAAUGUAGAAAUAAGUUUUGGGUGAUGCAAGUUAAAUUAGAGAUCAUGUGUAACCUGUUUUGUCUAUUAGCAUUCAAAAUUUGAAGUAGAGAUCCAUCAAAACUUGUCCUUUCAAAAAAGAAAAUGAAAAAAAUUAUUUCGUUUUCAUUUUUACUUACCUCAUCAUGUUCACAUUAUUGGUAUAAAUACAAAACUAUGUGAUCUUUUAUACUCACGAAAAGAUAAAUUCUAUAUUUUUUGAUUUGUAAAUAUAUUUUCCAUGAUGGACAUGAAUAAGUCAAUAGAUCUAUUGUUAUGUAUUUGGAGUUUAUAUUCAUUUGAAUUUUAAGUUUGUACAGUUAUAUAUUGGAUAUGCAUGUCGUGGAUAUAAGACGAUUAAGAAAUCCACUUCCUGUUUGCCUCCUUUUCGAUAUCAACUUAGUUAUGGAUUUGUAAGCUUCGCAAGUUUCAAAUAAAAUUUGUGGGUGAGGUGAUUUUAGUUGGAUUGAUUGUUAUUUUAUUUUUAUCCUACCAAUCAAUGUGUCCAUCAAUCAUUAAUGUGUUGCUUUAGACGAUUUUAUCUUUAAUAAUUUCUAAUAAUUUUUUUUGGAAUAUUUGUUUUAUUUUUCGAUCUAUCCAGUGUAAUUUUCAAAUUGAACAAUACAUUAGAUUGGUAUCAACCAAACUCAUAGUUUUGUGUGAUGUUUUUGGUGCUAUUAUUGAAGAGCUAUUAUUUACUUAAUAAUUGAGGUGACGAUAUGAUCUUAGAUGUGUUUUUUGUUAACAUAUUGUAUUUGUUAUCGAAGAUAGAUUCUCUUUUCAUAUGUUUUUUUCGUGGUAAUUGAGAAUAAAAUAUCUCUUAAAAUAAUAUUAUUUGUUAAUUCUUACAUGAAAACAUAUUAUUUGUUAAUUCUUACAUGUCGUCUUCACUGUGCACAUAUGAGAUGUACAUUUAUUAUCUGAGUGAGUCACACGAGGUUUCCCUAAAAACAAUGUUUCAGAUUCUAUAGCUGCAACUUUUUCUUUUGUUUAUGUUGUUUCUUCUUAUUAGACUUUUAACUAUUGCCUUCCUUCUUUUUUUGUUCAUUUGGCUGAAAUUCUUGAUAUGCAUGUGGAAACAGGACAACAGAUCAUAUUUGCCAUGAGGUUAGUUAUUUCUUAUUUACGUUGAACCAUGUUUUUGAGUUUUUGUGUCCAUGUUAAUUCAUCUAAAUACAACCCAAAUUACAUACAUGCAUGCAAGGUAGAAUUGAUAGUUUCACCGUAAGUUUUUUUUGUUAGUUUUCCUCGUACUCUCAACUUAUGUUAUAUAUUUAACGGUUAUCAUA